rnacentral:misc_RNA from 1 species
CUGCCUCGCGCGUUUCGGUGAUGACGGUGAAAACCUCUGACACAUGCAGCUCCCGGAGACGGUCACAGCUUGUCUGUAAGCGGAUGCCGGGAGCAGACAAGCCCGUCAGGGCGCGUCAGCGGGUGUUGGCGGGUGUCGGGGCGCAGCCAUGACCCAGUCACGUAGCGAUAGUUACUAUGCGGCAUCAGAGCAGAUUGUACUGAGAGUGCACCAUAUGCGGUGUGAAAUACCGCACAGAUGCGUAAGGAGAAAAUACCGCAUCAGGCGCCAUUCGCCAUUCAGGCUGCGCAACUGUUGGGAAGGGCGAUCGGUGCGGGCCUCUUCGCUAUUACGCCAGCUGGCGAAAGGGGGAUGUGCUGCAAGGCGAUUAAGUUGGGUAACGCCAGGGUUUUCCCAGUCACGACGUUGUAAAACGACGGCCAG